UCUUCUUCUGAUCUUCUUCUUCUUCUUCUCAUAGCACUAAUAGAAACCAAAGACCCAUCUCUGAUUUCUUCUCAAUCUUCACAUUCCUCACCCCAAAAUCAAAUCUUUGGAAUCACCCAUUUCACAAUGUCUACCGGAAUCGUGACCCGGUUCAAGGAAGCUGACCAAUCGACGAUGGCGGCGCACCAGCUGUGGUCCGAAUUCACCGACCCGACCGCCCUCAGCCUCCCUUCAAGCCUCUUCGACCCCUCGACCCGAGUCUUCCAGAACUUGACCCGGUUCUUCUUCUUCUUCUUCUUCAGAUAAUCACAUGCCUAAACCAACAAUUUAUCGACGAAGCUGGAGCCACUGGUGACGACGAUCCUAACCCUGCGCCUUGCCCAGGCCGGCGGGAACCUUGCCGGCAUUUUUGCGAAGGUCGGUGGAGAAGGAGGCAGUGUUGAUUCGGUCGUGGACGGAGGAGAAGGAUCGGAGGAAUAGUUCGUAUAGCUGGAACUGUGGCAGUUAGGCACAAACAAAAUAUUCAUUUCGGUAAAUUUUCACCUAGCUUCCAUCUCCCGCUGCCUCUCUCUCAAAUCUGCCCCAAUUCUCUUAGUAAAGUCGGCCGGAUCCGGACGGAUAUUUCCGGCCACAUUCACAAUGGAGGCUCACGGGUCGGGGCUCUGGCGUGCCACCGUCUUGGCCUUCUGCGUCGCGGGUAUCUGGGCUGCUUAUAUCUGGUAGUCAAGCUCAGUUUAUUGAAUGGGUUGAAUUGGAGAAUCAGAAUUGUGAAGUUUGGUGUCGACCCAAGGAUUGAUCAAUUUUAUUUGGGUUGUUUGAGAAGGCUGAAUUCACUAAUUGGUUGCUGGUAGAAAUUGUUGGAGUUUAAGUCGAAACUAUGAGCAAGGAUUUGGGUUCUGUGAUCAUUCUGAAACAAAGGUAAUUUUGUGAAACUCGUUAACUCAAUGAACAAUUGUUCCUGCAAUUUGAAUGCCAAUGGAAUUUGUAUAUGAGAAAAUGAUUGUUGAAUUGACGUCUGGUAUUGAUUAAACAUGACAAUGGCUGAGUUGAUAUUGGUGUCACGUUAGAAAUAGUUAAUGUGAUGUGAUCUGGAAAGAAA